UACGUAGGGUGCAAGCGUUGUCCGGAAUUAUUGGGCGUAAAGAGCUCGUAGGCGGUCUGUCACGUCGGCUGUGAAAACCCGAGGCUCAACCUCGGGCCUGCAGUCAAUACGGGCAAACUAGAGUACUGCAGGGGAGACUGGAAUUCCUGGUGUAGCGGUGAAAUGCGCAGAUAUCAGGAGGAAUACCGAUGGCGAAGGCAGGUCUCUGGGCUGACACUGACGCUCAUGCACGAAAGCGUGGGGAGCAAACAGG
rnacentral:rRNA from 1 species